UACGUAGGGGGCAAGCGUUGUCCGGAAUCAUUGGGCGUAAAGAGCGUGUAGGCGGCCUGAUAAGUCGGCUGUGAAAGUCAAGGGCUCAACCCUUGAAUGCCGGCCGAUACUGUCAGGCUAGAGUCCGGAAGAGGCGAGUGGAAUUCCUGGUGUAGCGGUGGAAUGCGCAGAUAUCAGGAGGAACACCAACGGCGAAGGCAGCUCGCUAGGACGGUACUGACGCUGAGGCGCGAAAGCGUGGGGAGCAAACAGG
rnacentral:rRNA from 1 species